UACGUAGGGCGCAAGCGUUGUCCGGAAUUAUUGGGCGUAAAGAGCUCGUAGGCGGUCUGUCACGUCUGCCGUGAAAACCCGAGGCUUAACCUCGUGGCUUGCGGUGGAUACGGGCAGACUAGAGUGUGGUAGGGGAGACUGGAAUUCCUGGUGUAGCGGUGAAAUGCGCAGAUAUCAGGAGGAACACCGAUGGCGAAGGCAGGUCUCUGGGCCACUACUGACGCUGAGAAGCGAAAGCAUGGGGAGCGAACA
rnacentral:rRNA from 1 species